rnacentral:rRNA from 1 species
UACAGAGGGUGCAAGCGUUAAUCGGAAUUACUGGGCGUAAAGCGUGCGCAGACGGUUGCGUAAGUCAGAUGUGAAAGCCCCGAGCUCAACCUGGGAAUUGCAUUUGAGACUGCGUAGCUAGGGUGCGGAAGAGGGAAGCGGAAUUUCCGGUGUAGCGGUGAAAUGCGUAGAUAUCGGAAGGAACACCAGUGGCGAAAGCGGCUUCCUGGUCCAGCACCGACGUCAGGCACGAAAGCGUGGGGAGCAAACAGG